rnacentral:lncRNA from 1 species
UUCAGAUGACACGUGUCCUCACUGCUAAACGUAGCAAUACAGACAAACAUGGUAUAUGCAAAAUUAACAUCACACCAAACAUAAGAAUAAAUCAAAUAAUAAUAAUCUACACGUUGCCACGGGACUGACGCAACUUGAACGGAUCAAAUCGGAGUUAAAACGGAGGAGUUAUGAUUUUCUGAAUAUUCUAUGUGUUUUGUACAAGAUAAAAUAGGGUAUAAAUUUUAAUGUGACUUUUAUGUCAAAACAGUGGCACUAAAUGAUAAACAAUAAUAUUACAAAAUUAUAGGAACUUGAAUGGACUAAAAAGGAGCUAGAAUGGAUUUUCUAUGAUUUAAACAAGUUUCUGCAAUUAUUUUAUAUUGGAAAUCACUUUUUUUAAAUGGAUUGCUCAAUUUCCUUAAAGGUCUGGUCUGCGCGUAAUAUUAACAAAAUGUCUAGGGACUAAAAUAGAAAUAUUCCUAAGACUCGGAUCCCCAGCUGCUAGGACUGCGGGUUCAUUUGUAUUAAUCCGAGGGACUCAUAUGCUAAAUCUCACCGCGAAGGGGUACGCAGAGACCUUGGCCGUUGGAUGUUGUUCCGACCGCCGAGAUUAGACGCUGAUAUUAUAAACCGUUAUGUGAUAUUGACCGUUGGAUCUAACAUCCACGGAUGAGAAGCGAUCCCGCCCCGAUCAAUCCUCCUCCGUCCGAUACCGCGCCAACGUUCCAGAUCUCGCUAUCGAACCGUUAUCCAGGGAUCUAAUCUAGACCAUACGCGUAGAGAUCAACGCGCCAGAUCGAUUCACUCAAAACGUUAAUCCUAUCCAUUCAUUGAAGAUCUGACGGUCGCCAGCCCUUUCUUCCCCACGGCAAUCUGCAAGCGGCGGCGCCGCCACGCCCGCCCGAUGGAGCAUCACCGGCGAGACCCCCCCCCAGCCAUACCAACGGCCAAACCCCACAUACAACGGUGCUACACGAUGAGGACGACGAGGCGAACCAUAUAGGGUAGCGACUUACCAGAAUUCGUAGCAAGAGCUCCCUGGUCGCGGUGGAAUGCGGACAGCGGCGCUCUUCCCAUUCCGGUGAGAAAUUCCUCGAGCUCCGACCGGCCGUUCAUCAAAUUGGCGGUCGAGCUAGCUUUCCUGUGUCCAGUCGAAGCACCGCAGCGACCGGUGAGGACGAAUCCGAGGUUCUGGGCGCGGCGCGACUGCAGCUCAACGCAGCCACCCG